rnacentral:lncRNA from 1 species
CGGCGCCCUUCAGAGAGAACUGACAGCAGAGAGGAGGGUAGAAAAGCUGGAGUGAAUCUGAAAGCAGUGAUUCAUGAGAUCCAGUAUUCCUGCUUCAUGAGCUGAGCGCAGGUGGAGAAAGGAAGUCUUUGGCUGCUGGUCAGCAAGGUGUGCCUCUGCGUUUGAGACUGAGUUCUCCUGUUGUUGCAUUGAGGAAAAGUGUGAAGCUAAAAUGAACCAAAGAAGAAGCACAGUGGGAGUGAAGAGAAAGGUGAUGAUGCCAGCACUGGUUUUCUCAUGUUUCCCAAAGGCAAUUACUGUGCCAGUGUCCCACGAUGCAAUGAGAUACGGCUCACACCCAAAUCCUCCAGCAGCUUCAGUUAAGUCCUCCAGAUAUAAGAACACUUUAAAAAGCAAAGAUUUAUUUGGGACUAGUGACCGCCUGUACCUAAGGAGGCAUUACAAGCUACUAAUUAAGCAAAUAUACAGUUUUACUUUUGCCUUGUCCCCUCAUCACCUUGUCUUCCUCGCAGACUUGUCUAAUCACUUCUUGCUCAGAUGGCUAAUAUUGUACUCCAGUCCCCUGGGAGAAGGGACUGUCUUUUUAGCUUUUCAUUCAGUCAGUGUGUAGAGCACAGAAAAUGCUCUACAAAUAAUAAUAAAUAUUUCAUUAAAAUCA